GUGAGGAAUAUUGGUCAAUGGACGAGAGUCUGAACCAGCCAAGUCGCGUGAAGGAAGACGGUUCUAUGAAUUGUAAACUUCUUUUGUGCAGGAAUAAAGUGGGUUACGUGUAACCUUUUGUAUGUACUGUACGAAUAAGGAUCGGCUAACUCCGUGCCAGCAGCCGCGGUAAUACGGAGGAUCCGAGCGUUAUCCGGAUUUAUUGGGUUUAAAGGGUGCGUAGGUGAAUUGAUAAGUCAGCGGUGAAAGUUUGCAGCUUAACUGUAAAAUUGCCGUUGAAACUGUCGGUCUUGAGUGCAAAUGAGGUAGGCGGAAUGUGUUGUGUAGCGGUGAAAUGCUUAGAUAUAACACAGAACUCCGAUUGCGAAGGCAGCUUACUGGGAUGCAACUGACACUGAUGCACGAAAGCGUGGGUAUCAAACAGGAUUAGAAACCCUUGUAGUCC
rnacentral:rRNA from 1 species